rnacentral:misc_RNA from 1 species
GUAAAGAUUCAAGGGCCAGCCAUACAGACGUACAAUAAGUGUGUCUCUGGCGGCUCGCAUCCACUAUACAUCCAUAAACCCGUGUGCACUGUUCUAAGGAGUAAGAAAGAAGAAGAAGGGGGAGGGAGAGAGAGUGCAUGUGCUUUGCAUAUAACUCUCUCACUCUCCACUCUCUUUCUCUC